rnacentral:rRNA from 1 species
ACCUGGUUGAUCCUGCCGGACCCGACUGCUAUCAGAGUGAGAUUAAGCCAUGCGAGUUAACGUAGCAAUACGUGGCGCACGGCUCAGUAACACGUAGUCAACAUGCCCAGAGGACGCGGAUAACCUCGGGAAACUGAGUCUAAACCGCGAUAAGUGAGGAUUUCUGGAAUGGUUCCCGACUAAAAUCUAUAUGGCCUCUGGAUUGGACUGCGGCCGAUCAGGCUGUUGGUGAGGUAAUGGCCCACCAAACCUGUAACCGGUACGGGCUCUGAGAGGAGGAGCCCGGAGAUGGGCACUGAGACAAGGGCCCAGGCCCUAUGGGGCGCGGCAGGCGCGAAACCUCUGCAAUAGGCGAAAGCCUGACAGGGUUACUCUGAGUGACUUUCGCUAAGAAAGUCUUUUGGCACCUUUAAAAAGGGUGCAGAAUAAGGGGUGGGCAAGUCUGGUGUCAGCCGCCGCGGUAAUACCAGCACCCCGAGUGGUCGGGACGAUUAUUGGGCCUAAAGCAUCCGUAGCCGGUUCUGCAAGUCCCCCGUUAAAUCCAGCUGCUCAACAGAUGGGCCGCGGAGGAUACUACAGAGCUAGGAGGCAGGAGAGGCAAGCGGUACUCAGUGGGUAGGGGUAAAAUCCGUUGAUCCAUUGAAGACCACCAGUGGCGAAGGCGGCUUGCCAGAAUGCGCUCGACGGUGAGGGAUGAAAGCUGGGGGAGCAAACCGGAUUAGAUACCCGGGUAGUCCCAGCCGUAAACGAUGCAGACUCGGUGAUGGGUUGGCUUCGUGCUAACCCAGUGCCGCAGGGAAGCCGUUAAGUCUGCCGCCUGGGUAGUACGGUCGCAAGACUGAAACUUAAAGGAAUUGGCGGGGGAGCACCACAAGGGGUGAAGCCUGCGGUUCAAUUGGAUUCAACGCCGGA